GUCCUGCAUGGCAGGUUAAAUGCCACCUCCUCAACACACAUGGAUGUCUUUAUCCUAAUCUCCAGAAACUAUAGAAACUAUACAUGCUACUCUGCAUGGCAAGAAGGACUCUGCAGAUAUGACCUUUAGGUAUCCAAGGCCAGGAGGUGGCACAGCGGCAACACAGCUGGACACAACUGGACGCACAGAGGCAAAUCCUGGGUUCACACCGAGCACAGCGGGUGUGUGCGCCUGUGGACUGGCUGGUUGAGUCGAAGGACAGACCACAGCAGGAGAACCCCAAAAUAUUUUUUUUGCCUGUAUCAUAACCAAGAGAACGCUUCCUCACCAGAAUCCUAGAAAAACAUGAGCAUCAAUGUCAUUUAUGAGCUCAGAAGCAACACUGGUGGUGAUAACGAGGACUACUGAUCAAUGACCGACUGUGUAAACAGCUUCUCACACCUCGUGUGCAUUUAUUCUCCUA